rnacentral:rRNA from 1 species
CCGAAUCCUGACACAGGGAGGUAGUGACAAGAAAUAACAAUACAGGGCUACUUCUAGUCUUGUAAUUGGAAUGAGUACAACUUACAUCUCUUCACGAGGAUCAAUUGGAGGGCAAGUCUGGUGCCAGCAGCCGCGGUAAUUCCAGCUCCAAUAGCGUAUAUUAAAGUUGUUGCAGUUAAAAAGCUCGUAGUCGGAUUUCGGGUCGGGCCGAGCGGUCUGCCGAUGGGUAUGCACUGUUCGGCGCGGCCUUCUUUCCGGAGACCGCGGCUACUCUUAACUGAGCGGGCGUGGGAGACGGAUCGUUUACUUUGAAAAAAUCAGAGUGUUUCAAGCAGGCAGCUCGCUCUUGCAUGGAUUAGCAUGGGAUAAUGAAAUAGGACUCUGGUGCUAUUUUGUUGGUUUCGAACACCGGAGUAAUGAUUAACAGGGACAGUCAGGG